rnacentral:rRNA from 1 species
GGUUUGAGAGAUCAGACCCUUCAGUUCGGCUGGCUGGAACACAGGUGCUGCAUGGCUGUCGUCAGCUCGUGUCGUGAGAUGUUGGGUUAAGUCCCGCAACGAGCGCAACCCUCAUCUUCAGUUGCCACCAGGUCAAGCUGGGCACUCUGAAGAAACCGCCGGUGACAAGCCGGAGGAAGGCGGGGAUGACGUCAAGUCCUCAUGGCCCUUACAGGUUGGGCUACACACGUACUACAAUGGUGGUGACAGUGGGCUGCGAAGUCGCAAGACGGAGCCAAUCCCCAAAAGCCAUCUCAGUUCAGAUUGCACUCUGCAACUCGAGUGCAUGAAGUUGGAAUCGCUAGUAAUCGCAGAUCAGCACGCUGCGGUGAAUACGUUCCCGGGCCUUGUACACACCGCCCGUCACGCCAUGGAAGUUGGUUUUACCUGAAGCCAGUGAGCUAACCGCAAGGAGGCAGCUGACCACGGUAAGGUUAAUGACUGGGGCGAAGUCGUAACAAGGUAGCCGUAGGGGAACCUGCGGCUGGAUCACCUCCUUUCU